GACAGAGGCCUCAAGCGUUAGGCGGAAUCACUGGGCUUAAAGCGUGUGUAGGCGGAUCGUUAAGUGUCUUGUGAAAUCCCACGGCUCACCCGUGGAACGGCUGGGCAUACUGGCGAUCUUGGGCCAACUAGGGGCAACUGGAACAAGCGGUGGAGCGGUGAAAUGCGUAGAUAUCGCUUGGAACGCCGAAGGUGAAAAACAGGUUGCCUGGGGUUGUGCCGACGCUGAGACACGAAAGCCAGGGGAGCAAACGGG
rnacentral:rRNA from 1 species